rnacentral:rRNA from 1 species
UACGUAGGUGGCAAGCGUUAUCCGGAAUUAUUGGGCGUAAAGAGGGAGCAGGCGGCAGCAAAGGUCUGUGGUGAAAGACUGAAGCUUAACUUCAGUAAGCCAUAGAAACCGGGCAGCUAGAGUGCAGGAGAGGAUCGUGGAAUUCCAUGUGUAGCGGUGAAAUGCGUAGAUAUAUGGAGGAACACCAGUGGCGAAGGCGACGAUCUGGCCUGCAACUGACGCUCAGUCCCGAAAGCGUGGGUAGCAAACAGG